rnacentral:rRNA from 1 species
UACGUAGGUGGCAAGCGUUUGUCCGGAUUUAUUGGGUUUAAAGGGUGCGUAGGCGGUCAUGUAAGUCAGCGGUGAAAUCCGGCAGCUCAACUGUCGAUGUGCCAUUGAUACUGCAUGACUUGAGUACUGAUGAGGUAGGCGGAAUUGACGGUGUAGCGGUGAAAUGCUUAGAUAUCGUCAAGAACACCGAUAGCGAAGGCAGCUUACUAAGCAGUAACUGACGCUGAUGCACGAAAGUGUGGGGAUCAAACAGG